rnacentral:lncRNA from 1 species
CUCUCAGCCAAAGCCAAGAAUAGCAACUGUAGCAGCAGGUACCACACCUGACUUUCUAAUGAGGGGAAGUCCAGCAGCCGUCCCCCAUUGUCUGUGGCAGGAGGUAUCUCUGCAUUAGCCAGGUUAGACAAAUGUAAAGAGAGACAUCACUGUAUCUGGAUCAUCAGGAUCUGUGAAGGUUUGAAAGGGCCAAUGAGUAUUCUCAUCAUUGAGGCAUUCUAUGGUGGGUCCCAUAAACAGCUGGUGGAUCUGCUUCAAGAAGAGUUAGAAGACUCUGUCCUGUAUACCCUGCCUGCAAAGAAAUGGCACUGGAGAGCAAGGACAUCAGCUUUGUACUUCUCUCAGAAUAUUCCCGCCAGUGGGCAUUACAGGAUCCUCUUCGCAAGCUCAGUGCUUAACCUGACUGAACUGGCUGCCCUUCGACCUGACCUUGGGAAAUUGAAAAAGAUUCUGUACUUUCAUGAGAACCAGUUGGUAUAUCCUGUCAAGAAAUGUCAGGAGAGGGAUUUCCAAUAUGGAUACAACCAAAUUCUAUCCUGCCUGGUGGCUGAUGUGGUGGUAUUCAACUCGGUUUUUAAUAUGGAGUCAUUUCUCACUUCUAUUGGAAAAUUCAUGAAGUUGAUUCCUGAUCACAGACCCAAGGAUCUGGAAAGCAUCAUCAGACCCAAGUGCCAAGUUAUUUACUUUCCCAUCAGGUUUCCUGACGUGAGCAGAUUCAUGCCCAAGCACAAAGCAGCCCAUUUACAGAAGAUACUCAGCCUUAAAGAAAAUGGUGGCACUGCUCCAUCCACGGCCCUUCCUUUCCAACAGGAGCAGAGAGGUUCUGAGAAUUUAUUGAAGAGUUUUGAUUCAAAGUCUGGACUUGGUGAUGCUGCACAACAAGAAAGCCUGGGUUGCUCUGUAAGACAGGAGUCAUACUUGAAAACAUUCAACUCCUCAGAUGAUUCAAGCACACAUCAUGGGGAACGUAAACAAAAUCAGUGUGACAUUUUGGCUGAAGCUGAUGAUCAGCAAAGACCAUUACAUAUUGUCUGGCCUCACAGGUGGGAGCAUGAUAAAGAUCCAGAGAGUUUUUUUAAGGUAUUGAUGCAUCUUAAGGACUUAGGACUCAAUUUCCACGUAUCUGUCCUUGGAGAAACCUUCACAGAUGUCCCAGGUUGGAAGCUGUGUAUUGUGGGUGUUACCCGCUUUGUCCCAAAGAUUUGGUUUAUCCCGAAAUAUUUCCAGCUGAAUAUCUGUAUUCUACACCUGAACAGCUUUCAAAAAGGCUCCAGAAUUUCUGCAAGAGACCAGAUAUUACAAGAAAACAUCUCUAUAAGGGUGAAAUGGCUCCUUUUUCUUGGGCAGCCCUACAUGGUAAAUUCAGGUCUCUGCUUACAGCAGAACCUAGGGAAGAUUUGUGACAGAUGGGGCUAAGUCACAAACUUGCAGCCUAAGGCAGAAUCUGUAGAACUUUCCAGAGUGUGCCCAUAUUUACCUGAUCAGAGAGAAAAGAAAAUCUGCAGAGGAAGCUGAGCCUGGCUGCUUGUCAUAGCUGACACAGAGCCAUCUGCCACAAACCUGUGGCGGCUUCAGAUCUCCAAUCCCUGCCACCACCCCAACUCAAAUUAAAUACAGAUUCCUAGAGACGUUAUGAUGGUUACACAUGUCCUCGGCAUCACAUGGAGGAGACUGUUCAAAAAAAAUAUGUGGCCUGUUGUAUAACCGCACUCAUGUAUCCCAUAUGUGGUGCCACAUUGAAUUUCCGGUUGAAUCCGUUUUUAUCCUUUGUACUGGAUGACAUGGUGCCUGAAUUCUUUCAUUUCGCCGACACGAUGGCAGCCAAACUGCAGCUUCAAACGCUCUCACUUGGCUGGGUUUCUACCUAGGUUGCCAGGUUAUCAUCGGAGCCUUCUUGUGUCCUCAGAGGGCCACAGGGCCUGAACGGAGGAUCAGAAUGCUACUGACUAAUUGGGCAGCCAUCUCGGAAUUGUUUGUGGGCAAAGAGCUGCUUUAGCACUUUUCUUUUAGCAAAUUAAUGACUCCCUGGCACCGAGGUUUUAAGUGAAGGUAUUAAUAAGAAGUCUGGCAGGUAUUCCCAUGAUUCACAGAGUUACAUUUGCAUUUAAUUUAUCUUAAAGAAAGUUGCAAGAUAAACAGCUGUAAUUCAGACAAACAUGGAAAAUACACUAAGUAGGGCCAUCUCGCCCGUAAAAUGAACACAGAGAUACUUGUUUUAAUUUUUUUCGAGAAAUAAAAAUACUUCUUACAAAACCA